UGCAGGUUGGCUCAGUUGGUUAGAGCAUGGUGCUGAUAACGCCAAGGUCACGGGUUGAGCCUUGAAUGGGUACAUUUCCCUGCAUUGCAG